rnacentral:rRNA from 1 species
CGGAACGGGUGAGUAAUACAUCGGAACGUGCCCAGUAGUGGGGAUAACCCGGCGAAAGCCGGACUAAUACCGCAUACGACCUACGGGUGAAAGCAGGGGAUCGCAAGACCUUGCGCUAUUGGAGCGGCCGAUGUCAGAUUAGCUAGUUGGUGGGGUAAAAGCCCACCAAGGCGACGAUCUGUAGCUGGUCUGAGAGGACGACCAGCCACACUGGGACUGAGACACGGCCCAG